UACGGGGGGGGGCAAGCGUUGUUCGGAAUUACUGGGCGUAAAGAGCUCGUGGGUGGUUUGUCGCGUUGUUCGUGAAAACUCACAGCUCAACUGUGGGCGUGCGGGCGAUACGGGCAGACUGGAGUACUGCAGGGGAGACUGGAAUUCCUGGUGCAGCGGUGGAAUGCGCAGAUAUCAGGAGGAACACCGGUGGCGAAGGCGGGUCUCUGGGCAGUAACUGACGCUGAGGAGCGAAAGCGUGGGGAGCGAACAGG
rnacentral:rRNA from 1 species